rnacentral:misc_RNA from 1 species
GAUGAAGAACGCAGCGAAAUGCGAUAAGUAAUGUGAAUUGCAGAAUUCAGUGAAUCAUCGAAUCUUUGAACGCACAUUGCGCCCGCCAGUAUUCUGGCGGGCAUGCCUGUUCGAGCGUCAUUUCAACCCUCAAGCCCAGCUUGGUGUUGGGGAUCGGCACAGGCGCCCUCGGGCGCCCGCCGUCCCCUAAAUCUAGUGGCGGUCCCGCUGCAGCCUCCUCUGCGUAGUAGUUUUCUCCUCGCAAGGGCAGCUCGGUGGCGACCUCGCCGUAAAACCCCCAACUUCUGAAAGGUUGACCUCGAAUCAGGUAGGAAUACCCGCUGAACUUAAGCAUAUCAAUAAGCGAGGA